CAAAGCCCAACCUCUUCCGCCAUCGCCGCCGCCAUCCUGUGUCGCCGUCGGUCCAGCUGCCGCCGCCGUGAGGUAUCCAAGUUAUUUUAAGAUUCUUGUUUUUACACACACAUACAGGUCAAUUAUAUGAAGGGCUAUUAAAAUGGUUCAUGCAUCCACUACGAAUGCAAAGAAAGGACGCAGUAAAACUGCUUGAGAAAUUGUCAAGGCUCCUCGUCAACCGGAUAGUAACCAAUGCGGUUUCUUUGUCAUGGCGUACAUGAAAAGUUUAAUUGAGAAUAUGCCAGACUUCGAUGAUAAAAAUUCUGUUC